rnacentral:rRNA from 1 species
AACGAACGCUGGCGGCAUGCCUAACACAUGCAAGUCGAACGAGACCUUCGGGUCUAGUGGCGCACGGGUGCGUAACGCGUGGGAACCUGCCCUUAGGUUCGGAAUAACUCCCCGAAAGGGGUGCUAAUACCGGUUAAUGUCUUCCGACCAAAGAUUUAUCGCCUUUGGAUGGGCCCGCGUUGGAUUAGCUAGUUGGUAGGGUAAAAGCCUACCAAGGCGACGAUCCAUAGCUGGUCUGAGAGGAUGAUCAGCCACACUGGGACUGAGACACGGCCCAGACUCCUACGGGAGGAAGCAGGAGGGAAGAUUGGAGAACGGGAGAAAGCCUGAGCCAGCAAUGCCGCGUGAGGGAUGAAGGCCUUAGGGUUGUAAAGCUCUUUUACCCGGGAUGAUAAUGACAGUACCGGGAGAAUAAGCUACGGCUAACUCCGUG